GGCAAAGUGAAACAAAAUGGACUGUAGGACAGCACUGCUACUUUUAUCUGUCUACUUUGCAGGUGUUGAUGGUCAGACUCUGACAGAAUCUGAACCUGUGGUUAAAAGGCCUGGAGAAUCCCACAGACUGACCUGUACAGGCUCUGGAUUCACAUUCAGCAGCUACGGUAUGAGCUGGAUCAGACAGGCUCCUGGAAAAGGACUGGAGUGGAUUGCUCGCAUUUACACUGAUGGCAGUAGAACUUUCUACUCUCAGUCAGUCCAAGGUCGUUUUACCAUCUCCAGAGACAACAGCAGACAGCAGCUGUAUCUGCAGAUGAACAGUCUGAAGACUGAAGAUUCUGCUGUUUAUUAUUGUGCUCGAGUAGCACAGUGA